rnacentral:rRNA from 1 species
CCGGUAAACGGCGGCCGUAACUAUAACGGUCCUAAGGUAGCGAAAUUCCUUGUCGGGUAAGUUCCGACCUGCACGAAUGGCGUAAUGAUGGCCAGGCUGUCUCCACCCGAGACUCAGUGAAAUUGAACUCGCUGUGAAGAUGCAGUGUACCCGCGGCAAGACGGAAAGACCCCGUGAACCUUUACUAUAGCUUGACACUGAACAUUGAGCCUUGAUGUGUAGGAUAGGUGGGAGGCUUAGAAGUGUGGACGCCAGUCUGCAUGGAGCCGACCUUGAAAUACCACCCUUUAAUGUUUGAUGUUCUAACGUUGACCCGUAAUCCGGGUUGCGGACAGUGUCUGGUGGGUAGUUUGACUGGGGCGGUCUCCUCCUAAAGAGUAACGGAGGAGCACGAAGGUUGGCUAAUCCUGGUCGGACAUCAGGAGGUUAGUGCAAUGGCAUAAGCCAGCUUGACUGCGAGCGUGACGGCGCGAGCAGGUGCGAAAGCAGGUCAUAGUGAUCCGGUGGUUCUGAAUGGAAGGGCCAUCGCUCAACGGAUAAAAGGUACUCCGGGGAUAACAGGCUGAUACCGCCCAAGAGUUCAUAUCGACGGCGGUGUUUGGCACCUCGAUGUCGGCUCAUCACAUCCUGGGGCUGAAGUAGGUCCCAAGGGUAUGGCUGUUCGCCAUUUAAAGUGGUACGCGAGCUGGGUUUAGAACGUCGUGAGACAGUUCGGUCCCUA